rnacentral:rRNA from 1 species
UGGGGAAUAUUGCACAAUGGGCGCAAGCCUGAUGCAGCCAUGCCGCGUGUAUGAAGAAGGCCUUCGGGUUGUAAAGUACUUUCAGCGGGGAGGAAGGCGAUAAGGUUAAUAACCUUGUCGAUUGACGUUACCCGCAGAAGAAGCACCGGCUAACUCCGUGCCAGCAGCCGCGGUAAUACGGAGGGUGCAAGCGUUAAUCGGAAUUACUGGGCGUAAAGCGCACGCAGGCGGUCUGUCAAGUCGGAUGUGAAAUCCCCGGGCUCAACCUGGGAACUGCAUUUGAAACUGGCAGGCUAGAGUCUUGUAGAGGGGGGUAGAAUUCCAGGUGUAGCGGUGAAAUGCGUAGAGAUCUGGAGGAAUACCGGUGGCGAAGGCGGCCCCCUGGACAAAGACUGACGCUCAGUUGCGAAAUCGUGGGGAGCAAACA